AGGAAGAAGCUGAGAAAAUUACACAACCAAUUCUAGAUGCUCUAGGUGAAGACUAUUCUACUUAUUGCGAAGGAACUGCAUUUUUUCCCUUGCAAAGCUGUAUGAACCAUUCCUGUUGUCCUAAUGCCAAAGCUUUCAAAAGAGAUGAGGAUAGAGACGGCCAAGCAACAAUAAUUGCACUGAGGUCCAUCUGCAAAGGAGAAGAGAUAACCAUUUCAUAUGUUGAUGAAGACCUUCCAUUUGAAGAGAGACAAGCAUCCCUUGCAGAUUACGGUUUUAGAUGUAAAUGUCCAAAGUGCAUUGAAGAAGAGCCAUAAAUAGUGUUACAACCCCAUGCAAACAUUUAUACACAACAUAGUCCAAUUUUAUAAAGAGGCUGAAUGCAAGGUUUAACAAUGAAUUUUAUGCAUGGAACCAAAAUCAAUUUUGCAAAGCUUGUGUAUUUCUAUGAGAAGAUUAGUUCUAGAAGAAGACCUGCUAAGUGGUAGCAAUCACUCCGAGCUCAAAUAAAUAUAGGUAAUGAGAUUUUUAAAAUUAGAGAUUACUUUUAGCAUUGAUAUCAUUAAAUUUAAAUAUUUUUGAAGUUGCGAUAGUGAGUAUAAAAUUGUCAAAAAAAUUCAUAAAGAAUAAUGUUUUGUUCAAGAAUUUAGGCUCACAAUGUCGACGGAGAAUAGUUGGAUGACAACUCGAUAGCGGUAUUUGAUUGAAAUUGAUUUUUGAGGACUUGCAAAAGUACUACCUGCAAAUUUCCUGCAAACACUCCGACGCUCAAAUUAGUAUAAGGGCAUAGGAUUUUUAAAGUUAGAGAGCGCGUACCUUGAGUAUUCUAAUCUAGAAAAAGACCUACAAAGUGUUUGCAAACAUUCACUCUUACGCAAAAGUACCUGCAAACACUCCGACGCUCAAAUUAAUAUUGACAAUUAGAAUUUAAAAUAUGUACCGUAAUUUUUAGUUUGAUGGCCAAAAUACCUGCACCUACUUCAUCAUUCAAACUAGUAUUGACAAUGAGAUUUUUAAAAUUAAAAAUAUGCAUACCUUAAACGAUGGUAAUUUAAGCUUAUAUAUCUGAAGUUGUGGUAUUUGAAUUUAGAGCCU